CCCACAGACCCGCAGCCCAGGUCUGCAAAGCCCCCUCCACCGCCUGGGCCCCGGGCGCCGCGGCCCCCAGCGGAGGGGAAGGGGACCGAGGAAGGGAAGAAGCUGUAAACAGCCCCAGCGUCCGGGCCUCGCCUCGAAGAGCCCAGCUCCCAGGCCCCGCCGCGGCCGCCAGAGUCCCCAGCCCGUCCGAGGACCGCCCCUCCCGGGGCCCCGGGCACCGGAGGGGAGUCAGGUCUCCUCCCCAGAGGGCUCCGGCAGCUUGCGGAGCGGUCCCAGCAGCAGAGAAGGGGGAAGUCAGGACUUACCUGUCAUUACUUUCUACGCCAUCUUGGAUCCACUUGUCAACGUCCCCACAAAGCAUUAUGGGGGGUCCUAACGCUUAUCUACUCAUGCCUGGCCGGACUGUUUGCAGAGCGUUGACAAUCUGGGGUUCCAGGAGGCCAGGACUGCAGCCAGAGACCGUGAGCGUGCGUGGGCGCAGGACUUGAGUCCGGCCGGGAGAAGGAGCAGCCCCUGUGCAGCAAGGCCGUCACUGCCGUCACUGGCCGUGGGCGGUGUCCCUUUCAGCCUCAGUGACGGCGGGACAGGAGACGCCGUCCCUCACUACAGUGUUAUGCUCUUGUCACCCACUCGUCCCAGCUGUCUGUGGGGGUAAAGGGAAGACAGUACUUGCUGCCAACUCACUAAGAAUUUUUAAAGUGUCUACUGUUGCCAAGGGCUGGGGGCAGGGAAGAUCGGAGAGCAGUCAUUUCGUGGGUACAGCGUUUGCUUUCUGGGUAAUGAAAACGUUUUGGAACUACAGGUGGUGGUGUAAUAAGCCGUGUACUAAAUGCCACUGAAUUGUACACUCUAAGAUGGUUCGUCUUAGGGACGCCUGGGUGGCUCAGUUGGUGGAGGAUGCAACUCUUGAUCUUGGGGUUGAAACUGUGACCCCCACGUUGGGUGUAGAGAACAUCUUCUUUAAAAAAUACCUUUUUAAAAAAUGGUUAGGCUUAUGUGAAUUUUAUCCCAAUUUAAUGCAAAUAAAAAUUGUUGG
rnacentral:lncRNA from 1 species